AUUGAACGCUGGCGGCAGGCUUAACACAUUCAAGUCGAGCGGAGUGAUGGUGCUUGCACUAUCACUUAGCGGCGGACGGGUGAGUAAUGCUUAGGAAUCUGCCUAUUAGUGGGGGACAACAUCUCGAAAGGGAUGCUAAUACCGCAUACGCCCUACGGGAGAAAGCAGGGGAUCACUUGUGACCUUGCGCUAAUAGAUGAGCCUCGGUCGGAUUAGCUAGUUGGUGGGGUAAGGGCCUACCAAGGCGACGAUCUGUAGCGGGUCUGAGAGGAUGAUCCGCCACACCGGGACUGAGACACGGCCCAGACUCCUACGGGAGGCAGCAGCGGGGAAUAUUGGACAAUGGGGGGAACCCUGAUCCAGCCAUGCCGCGUGUGUGAAGAAGGCCUUAUGGUUGUAAAGCACUUUAAGCGAGGAGGAGGCUCUUUUGGUUAAUACCCAGAAUGAGUGGACGUUAAUCGCAGAAUAAGCACCGGCUAACUCUGUGCCAGCCGCCGCCGUAA
rnacentral:rRNA from 1 species